rnacentral:rRNA from 1 species
GAUGAACGCUAGCGGCAGGCUUAACACAUGCAAGUCGAGGGGUAACAGGGAUUGCUUGCAAUCUGCUGACGACCGGCGCACGGGUGCGUAACGCGUAUGCAACCUACCUUCUACAGGGGGAUAGCCCAGAGAAAUUUGGAAUAAUACCCCAUACGAUCUUUACUCGGCAUCGAGUAGAGAAGAAAACUUCGGUGGUAGAAGAUGGGCAUGCGUCCUAUUAGUUAGUUGGUGAGGUAACGGCUUACCAAGACAUCGAUAGGUAGGGGCCCUGAGAGGGGGAUCCCCCACACUGGUACUGAGACACGGACCAGACUCCUACGGGAGGCAGCAGUGAGGAAUAUUGGACAAUGGGGGCAACCCUGAUCCAGCCAUGCCGCGUGCAGGAAGACUGCCCUAUGGGUUGUAAACUGCUUUUAUACAGGAAGAAACUGCGCUACGUGUAGCGUACUGACGGUACUGUAAGAAUAAGGAUCGGCUAACUCCGUGCCAGCAGCCGCGGUAAUACGGAGGAUCCAAGCGUUAUCCGGAAUCAUUGGGUUUAAAGGGUCCGUAGGUGGUCCAUUAAGUCAGAGGUGAAAGCCUAUCGCUCAACGAUAGAACGGCCUUUGAUACUGAUAGACUUGAGUUAUUGUGAAGUAGUUAGAAUAUGUAGUGUAGCGGUGAAAUGCAUAGAUAUUACAUAGAAUACCGAUUGCGAAGGCAGAUUACUAACAAUAUACUGACACUGAGGGACGAAAGCGUGGGUAGCGAACAGGAUUAGAUACCCUGGUAGUCCACGCCGUAAACGAUGGUCACUAGCUGUUUGACUAACAUUGGUUAGUUGAGUGGCUAAGCGAAAGUGAUAAGUGACCCACCUGGGGAGUACGCUCGCAAGAGUGAAACUCAAAGGAAUUGACGG